rfam:Mycobacterium hassiacum DSM 44199 mhas.contig.45, whole genome shotgun sequence.
CACGGUCUUCGGUAGUGGCUGCCGGGAUAGGAAUCCCGGCCGCUUCGAUCGAUGGCCGUA